rnacentral:rRNA from 1 species
GAUGAACGCUGGCGGCGUGCCUAAUACAUGCAAGUCGAGCGAACAGAUAAGGAGCUUGCUCCUUUGACGUUAGCGGCGGACGGGUGAGUAACACGUGGGUAACCUACCUAUAAGACUGGAAUAACUCCGGGAAACCGGGGCUAAUGCCGGAUAACAUUUAGAACCGCAUGGUUCUAAAGUGAAAGAUGGUUUUGCUAUCACUUAUAGAUGGACCCGCGCCGUAUUAGCUAGUUGGUAAGGUAACGGCUUACCAAGGCAACGAUACGUAGCCGACCUGAGAGGGUGAUCGGCCACACUGGAACUGAGACACGGUCCAGACUCCUACGGGAGGGAGCAGUAGGGAAUCUUCCGCAAUGGGCGAAAGCCUGACGGAGCAACGGCGCGUGAGUGAUGAAGGUCUUCGGAUCGUAAAACUCUGUUAUUAGGGAAGAACAAAUGUGUAAGUAACUGUGCACGUCUUGACGGUACCUAAUCAGAAAGCCACGGCUAACUACGUG